GUCUUUUGAGUAUGAAAAAGUACACUUGCCUUCCAAGCAGGAAGUUUAAAUUAUUUUAAAAAAGAUA
rnacentral:tRNA from 1 species